ACAACUCAACCCACACAGUAGAACAGA
rnacentral:sRNA from 1 species